CUUCCUUCCUCUUCAUCUCUCUCUCUUCCUUCCCUCCCUUGAUGCCUUCCCUCCCUCCCUCCUCCUCGCCCCCUCCUUCCUUUCUUCCUUUUUCUUUUCAUCACCCUUCCUCCUUUCCUGAAUCCUCCCUUUUAUCUCACUUUCCCUAGCUUCUAUCUUCCCUUUAACAGUAUUUGUUGAACCCUGUGCUGGAUGCCAGAUCCAGCAAAUCCAGCACCUUGGUAAUUGAAGGAUUGUAACUUAAAAAACAACAACAACAGAAAACUGAUGAUAUGUAAAGGCCUCCAAUACCUUAAUUAAAACAACAUCAACAAAGUAUGGAGCAGAGUGUAUUUGAGAUCUUACCUAGGUCCCAAAGUAUUCACAGCAGUGAAAAGUGAGUAAGAACCUGAAGCAGAGAACACUUCACAGAAAAAAGUUCCUGGGAGAUAGAAACCUCAACUCAUCUACUUUUUUAUUCCCAGCCCAAGGAUACUGCCUGGCACCUAAGAGGCACCAGAAAAUUCUAGUUGAAAUGAACAUUUUAGAGUCAGGCAGAGUCUAAAAUGACCCUUAAAGAUUCCUGCCUCCUGGUGUCACUUCCUCCAGUUGACCGUGGACUGGCCUAGAGACUUACUUCUGACCACAGAAUAUGGCAAAAGUGAUGAGAUGUCACUUCUGUGAUUUGGUUCCAGAAGAUUGUGACUUCCGUCUUGUUAGCCAACUCUAUUGUCUUCUUGGCUUGCCUGCUUCAGUGAAGCAAGCUGCCCUUUUGGAUAGGCUCACGUGCAAGGAAUGGAGGGCCGCCUCUAACCAACACCCCGCAAGAGCUGAGGCUGUCAGUCCAGCAGCCCUUGAGACAUUGGUCCUGCCAACAACCACCUGAGCUUCAAAGUGAAUCCUUCCUCAGUGGAGCAUUCAGAUGAGACCUCAGCCCUGGCUCACACCUUGACUACAGACUUGGAGAGACCCCAAAGCAGAAGACCCAGGGAAACUAUGCUCAGACUCAUGACCCACAGGAACUGUAAGAUAAUAAAUGUAUGUUUACUUAAA